AUUGAACGCUGGCGGCAGGCCUAACACAUGCAAGUCGAACGGUAACAGGAAGAAGCUUGCUUCUUUGCUGACGAGUGGCGGACGGGUGAGGAAUGUCUGGGAAACUGCCUGAUGGAGGGGGAUAACUACUGGAAACGGUAGCUAAUACCGCAUAACGUCGCAAGACCAAAGAGGGGGACCUUCGGGCCUCUUGCCAUCGGAUGUGCCCAGAUGGGAUUAGCUAGUAGGUGGGGUAACGGCUCACCUAGGCGACGAUCCGUAGCUGGUCUGAGAGGAUGACCAGCCACACUGGAACUGAGACACGGUCCAGACUCCUACGGGAGGCAGCAGUGGGGAAUAUUGCACAAUGGGCGCAAGCCUGAUGCAGCCAUGCCGCGUGUAUGAAGAAGGCCUUCGGGUUGUAAAGUACUUUCAGCGGGGAGGAAGGGAGUAAAGUUAAUACCUUUGCUCAUUGACGUUACCCGCAGAAGAAGCACCGGCUAACUCCGUG
rnacentral:rRNA from 1 species